ACAGGGAUUGCCCCAGUAACGGCGAGUGAAGCGGCAACAGCUCAAAUUUGAAAUCUGGCCCCUAGGGCCCGAGUUGUAAUUUGCAGAGGAUGCUUUUGGCGAGGUGCCUUCCGAGUUCCCUGGAACGGGACGCCAUAGAGGGUGAGAGCCCCGUCUGGUUGGAUGCCGAGCCUCUGUAAAGCUCCUUCGACGAGUCGAGUAGUUUGGGAAUGCUGCUCUAAAUGGGAGGUAUAUGUCUUCUAAAGCUAAAUACCGGCCAGAGACCGAUAGCGCACAAGUAGAGUGAUCGAAAGAUGAAAAGCACUUUGAAAAGAGGGUUAAAUAGUACGUGAAAUUGUUGAAAGGGAAGCACUUAUGACCAGACUUGGACCCGGUGAAUCAUCCAGCGUUCUCGCUGGUGCACUUUGCCGGGCUCAGGCCAGCAUCAGUUUGCCUCGGGGGAUAAAGGCUUUGGGAAUGUGGCUCCCUCGGGAGUGUUAUAGCCCAUUGCACAAUACCCUGGGGCGGACUGAGGUUCGCGCAUCUGCAAGGAUGCUGGCGUAAUGGUCAUCAGUGACCCGUCUUGAAACACGGACCAAGGAGUCGUCUUCGUAUGCGAGUGUUCGGGUGUAAAACCCCUACGCGUAAUGAAAGUGAACGCAGGUGAGAGCUUCGGCGCAUCAUCGACCGAUCCUGAUGUUCUCGGAUGGAUUUGAGUAAGAGCAUACGGGGCCGGACCCGAAAGAAGGUGAACUAUGCCUGUAUAGGGUGAAGCCAGAGGAAACUCUGGUGGAGGCUCGCAGCGGUUCUGACGUGCAAAUCGAUCGUCAAAUAUGGGCAUGGGGGCGAAAGACUAAUCGAACCUUCUAGUAGCUGGUUUC
rnacentral:rRNA from 1 species